UGAUGAAGAGAAAUUUGACCCCAUCGAGUUCAAGGACUCAAAUACCGAGUUACUGGUGCCGAGUUUGGUAAACCCAUUUCCUAGUGGGGUUAUGCCUUCAGCGUUGUUGAGUGGAGAGUGGCUUCCUCCUUUACUUGACAGCACAAGAAGGUUUGGAGAAGCUAAGGGUAUUAUAGUAAAUACAUUUUUAGAGCUAGAAUCCCAUGCAAUUGAGUCUUUGAAAAUGUCUGCUGUUUACCCUGUGGGACCCAUUUUAGGUGUGGGGUCCGAUGGAAGAAACACUCACCGCGAAAUCAUGCAAUGGCUUGAUGAUCAGCCUCCGUCAUCAGUUGUAUUCCUGUGCUUCGGGAGCCAUGGAAGUUUUGAUGAGGAUCAAGUGAAAGAGAUUGCCUAUGCAUUAGAGCAUAGUGGUCAGCGAUUCUUGUGGUCCUUACGCCGACCGCCACCUCCAGGUCUCCAAGCAUCUCCCAGUGACUAUGAGGAUCCACAAGAAGUCUUGCCCGAAGGAUUCUUGGAUCGAAUGGCUGGAGUUGGAAAGGUAACGGGAUGGUCUCCACAAGCGGCUGUCUUGGCCCAUCCAGCUAUAGGAGGAUUUGUUUCACAUUGCGGAUGGAAUUCUGUGCUUGAAAGC
rnacentral:misc_RNA from 1 species